rnacentral:rRNA from 1 species
CCCUUAGAUGUUCUGGGCCGCACGCGCGUUACACUGAUGCAUUCAACGAGUUCUUCCUUGGCCGAGAGGCCUGGGCAAUCUUUUGAACGUGCAUCGUGAUAGGGAUAGAUUAUUGCAAUUAUUAAUCUUGAACGAGGAAUUCCUAGUAAACGCAGUUCAUCAAACUGCAUUGAUUACGUCCCUGCCCUUUGUACACACCGCCCGUCGCACCUACCGAUUGAAUGGUCCGGUGAAGCCUCGGGAUUGUGGCGAGUUCCCUUUAUUGGGAGUUUGUCGCGAGAACUUGUCUAAACCUUAUCAUUUAGAGGAAGGUGAAGUCGUAACA